rnacentral:tRNA from 1 species
GCUCAAUUGGUACGGCACAAGGCUCUUAACCUUGUGGAUGUGGAUUCAAGUCCCAU